AGAAAGAAAGAAAGAAGAAGAAAGAAAGAAAGAAAGAGAAAAAGAAAGAAAGAAAGAAAGAAUUAUUUUGCUCUCAUUCUUGAAAGGGUUUUUUGGGAUAGAAAUUCCAAGUUGAUUACUGUUUUCCUCUCAACACAUUGAAAAUAUUAUCCCACAGUCUUCUGGCUUCCAUUUUUGCUGCUAAAAGGUAAUGUUUGUUGACUUACUGUUCUUCAGAAGGUGACCUCUCUUUGUUCCUGGUUUCUUUGAAGAGCUUCUCUUUGCUUUUGAUGUUCCACAGUUUUAUCAUCGUAAGUCCAGAAAGAACAAUGCCAUGGCGAGGUACUCAGAGCUGAGGGAGGAAGAUUGCUGCAGCCAGUGAGCUAAGCGGAAAGAAUAUCCUGGGCUUCCUUGGGAUCCGAUGUGGACUUGGUCCAGCUGCAGGGAGAGAAUGUACUGCUCAGGCCGACGUGAGGAUCCAAUCCACUCACCGGUUACAUGCCACGAUGUAAAUUAAUAAAUUCGCAUUCUGAUUUUAUCAUCUGCCUCAUCUGAGGUCUGUAGGCGUGAGUCAGCAUCCCCUAGUUUAAUCAACAUGGACACUGAGACUAUCAAGCUUUUGAGCUGAAAAGCUAAGAAUUAGACCCAGGACCAGAGUGAAAUCACCAAGAUGAGGAAAUCCAAGCUCAGAAUGGAUAAUUCACCUAAGGAAAUACAGAUGGAAAAUGGCAGAGCUGCAAUCUAAACCCAGGUCCAUCUGAUAAUAAAGCCCAGGCUCUCCUCAACCAACUUCAGAUCUAGGAUGCUUCCAGUGAGACUCCGUGCUCCCUCCCUGUGUGGUUCCCAUGGCCUUUCUUUACCUCAAGAAAAUGCAGAGUGAAAAGCAAUGGUAGCAGAAGUUUCUAGAAGUUACUUAUAUGGCAAGUGCAAGUAUUUCAGAACACAUUUGAGAUUCAGGAAGGAGGCAAAAAGGCUUCUGCUGAGCAGUCAAAAUGACGAAGUUUGUAAACUUCACUUUAUUUGGGUCCCUGCUGAAAGUCUACCUACUCUUUAAAAACAAUAACAACAACAAAAAAUGGGAACACACUAUUAACGCUGUUCUGCACAUGUAUUUUUCAAUUAACAAUUGGUGAGUAUUCCCUUUUAGCGCACAUAGAUCUACCUCAUUCAUUUAAGGGCUCUGUAGUGCUGCAUUGUGUGAAUGCACCAAAUGUGUAUUUAUCCUGCAUUCUCUAGGUGGACAUUUUAGACACUUACAAGGGUUGGGGCUCAGAAAGUGAUAUCCCAAAGGCUGAUGUUUUGACAUGCUGAGGGCCCUCAGAAGCCGCCCCCGAACCAAGGUCCCUCUAACUUCUUGUUCCCCAUACCUGCCCCACCACCAAACACAGGGAGGGACUGUCUGUCUUUGGAAAUUUCCUCAUCUGACCAAGAAAGCAUCUUUCCAAAAGAAAUGCAAUUGUCUUAAACACCCUCCCUAGAGGUCUCAUCAAAUAACCAAGAAAGAUAAACCACCAGAAGAGAUGAGACUGGGAAUCAUCACCACACCCAGACAGACUUCAUCUAUUCUUCUGAGAGCAGCUCCAAGAGAUUGCCUGGAGGACUUUAUCUGCUUAAUAAGACAAGCUUUGUUCCUGUACAGCUCCGCCCCUCACCUUCCUGUAAUAUCUGCCUCCCACCUCCCCAGUCCAUACAUCUCCUCCCUCCUGUAUGAAAAAGGGUAUACAAGCUUCUGUGCCCCAUUGGGUUAUUGGGAAAUCAUUCUCCUGUGAUUCCCCUGUGCCAUGCACACUAAAAUAAAAUUUUGUAUGCCUUUUCUCCUAUCGAUCUGCCUUUGGUCAGUUGAUUUUUCAAUGAACCUUCAGAAGGCAAAGGGGAAGUUUUCCCUUGGCCCCUGUACAUGUCUUUUGUAACUAUAGAUAAUGCUGUCAUGAACACCCUUUCUUCCCCCAUGUCUGAUGGGUAACGCACCAACAUUGUAACAAAAUUGGAGGAAGGCAUAUGUCACACAUGAGCGUGAAAACCCAAUCACCACGCUUAUGAACUACAAAAAGUACAUGAAACUGUGUUAUCCACAAGUCAGAUGAACCCAAAGAACUUGUUUCCAAGCCCUUCCUGGAGCAGAAUCAGUGAAGAGGAGGGGAAAGGGUUGCUAGAGGCUGUUGGCCUGAAGCAAUACAAGCUACUGCUGACAGUCUGGCAGGAGAAAGGAGACACAAAACUCUACAAAGCAAACACAAGAAGGAAAACAGGCCAGGAUCAUUUAGCAGAAGGUCCAAACAGUCCAAGACGGCAGAGUAGGCCUUUAGCAUAUACGAACUGAGGUUGAGAAGUACACUUAACCAUGAAAAAAGGGGCUUAAAUCUCUUCUCCAUGCUCUGUUUUAGAAGGCAGAAGAGUGUAAAAUCCAUUUUAGAAUUAUUUUCCUCUAAAAUGGCGAUCUAGGAAAAGGCCCAGCACUUGAAAGGACAAACGUCGACUGUGUAUGUAGCACACACCAUAACCUAUGGCGUUGGAUAGAGUGCUAUUAUACAAAAAUUGAUUGCUUUUUUUUUGAAAAAACAAGGACAGACAAGGCCUAUAAAGAAUAUGGAAGAUGGGCUCUUAGAAAAGGUGGACAUUUUGGCCGGGUGCUGUGGCUCACGCCUGUAAUCCCAGCACUUUGAGAGGCCGAGGCGGGCAGAUCACCUGA
rnacentral:lncRNA from 1 species